rnacentral:rRNA from 1 species
CCUACGGGGGGCAGCAGUGAGGAAUAUUGGUCAAUGGACGAGAGUCUGAACCAGCCAAGUAGCGUGAAGGAUGACUGCCCUAUGGGUUGUAAACUUUUUUUAUAUGGGAAUAAAAUGUUCCACGUAUGGGUUUUUGUAUGUACCAUAUGAAUAAGGAUCGGCUAACUCCGUGCCAGCAGCCGCGGUAAUACGGAGGAUCCGAGCGUUAUCCGGAUUUAUUGGGUUUAAAGGGAGCGUAGGUGGAUUGUUAAGUCAGUUGUGAAAGUUCGCGGCUCAACCGUAAAAUUGCAAAUGAUACUGGCAAUCUUGAGUACAGUUGAGGUAGGCGGAAUUCGUGGUGUAGCGGUGAAAUGCUUAGAUAUCACGAAGAACUCCGAUUGCGAAGGCAGCUUACUAAACUGCCACUGACAUUGAUGCUCGAAAGUGUGGGGAUCAAACAGGAUUAGAUACCCUUGUAGUC